CAGAAACUGAAGGGCUUUAACCUUCGCUUAAGGCUUUGAAGGCCUUUGGUCUAGGUUAACCUAAGUUUCU
rnacentral:tRNA from 1 species